UACAGAGGGUGCGAGCGUUGUCCGGAAUCACUGGGCGUAAAGGGCGCGUAGGUGGCGCGACAAGUCAGUGGUGAAAGUUCGACGCUCAACGUCGAAUCGGCCACUGAUACUGUUGGGCUUGAGCACUGUAGAGGCUAAUGGAAUUCCGGGUGUAGCGGUGGAAUGCGUAGAGAUCCGGAAGAACACCGGUGGCGAAGGCGGUGGUCUGGGCCUGAACUGACGCUGAGGAGCGAAAGCCAGGGGAGCAAACAGG
rnacentral:rRNA from 1 species